rnacentral:tRNA from 1 species
GCCGGAUUAGCUCAGAGGAAGAGCAACGCACUCGUAAUGCGUAGGCCGCCGGUUCAAAUCCGGCAUCCGGCUCCA